rnacentral:rRNA from 1 species
UACGGGGGGGGCAAGCGUUGUUCGGAAUUACUGGGCGUAAAGGGCUCGUAGGCGGCCAACUAAGUCAGACGUGAAAUCCCUCGGCUUAACCGGGGAACUGCAUCUGAUACUGGAUGGCUUGAGAUUGGGAGAGGGAUGCGGAAUUCCAGGUGUAGCGGUGAAACGCGUAGAUAUCUGGAGGAACACCGGUGGCGAAGGCGGCAUCCUGGACCAACACUGACGCUGAGGAGCGAAAGCCAGGGGAGCAAACGGG